CGGGAGUUAGGACUGCUAAAAUAGGAACUGUCACUAGGUGGCACCAGUCGCCCUAGCGUCGAGAGUGAGGCUGCUCACCGCUCUUCUUCGCAUCUAUGAGCUAAGAGAGCUUUGUCCGGCAAGGGAAAACAGACAUGAUCCGGAAGAUAUCGCUGCGAAUCACCGCCCCUUCCGCUGAACCUUUCCGUUUGUCUCCUUAGCACGAACUGCAAGGACUUCGGUGUCGAGGAAGAGCAAGCAACAAGAAUUCCCUUCUCGGGAAGGGUGCCACGACUGAGCAGACCCUGCUUGAGUAAUCACCAGUUUAUUUGUUUGGUAAGUAGACUUGAAACUGGCUCUCAGAAAAAUAACCCAAAUUCUAUAGGUGGCUUUACAGGUAGGCAGUCAAUUGUCAAGAAAGGAUUAGUGUGACCCUUUCUUCAUCAAUUUAUAUUAUUAGUGAAAUGCUGUUAAGUUGUGUACUUCUAUAAUCAUGUGGACAAAGGCUCACCGUUGUUGAUCACUACAACUCAUAGUUCUUCCAAAGACAUUCCAGUAAACCCUUUGUUCCUCCUAUCCAUGCUUUACCCAAGGUAUCCCCCUUCUAUGUUUUUUUUAAAUUCUUGUACUGUCAAUUAGUUGAGAGUUUGCAGGAUGGACACAGGAGGAGGAGGGUAUUAAAGGAGAUGCCAGGACACAAACAAACAGCAUCAUGCUUAUUUAAAUUGACACCAUUAAUUACUUAUAACUUCAGGGUCACUCAUCCAUAACUGACAAUGGGGUUGAUUUCAUGGGCAAGUUUUAUAGCCCUCUCUUUCCCUCUUCAUUCUCAGAGUUACUUACUUUAGGCAUCAGCAAAGGUUAGGAUAAGAAAAUCUUGGUGCAAUAACACAAGCAAACAUACUCUCAACCUUGCAAGGCUGUCAAGCAAGAGAGGAUUUUUUAAUACCAUUCAGAAUGUAAGAGGAAAAGCAGAAUUAAAAAACAGAUCUUUACAAUAUUUCUUUAUUAUUUUGAUUUCUCCCUUUCUCUUUCUCAGAUUU
rnacentral:lncRNA from 1 species